rnacentral:rRNA from 1 species
CCUACGGGCGGCAGCAGUGAGGAAUAUUGGUCAAUGGACGAGAGUCUGAACCAGCCAAGUAGCGUGAAGGAUGACUGCCCUAUGGGUUGUAAACUUCUUUUAUCUGGGAAUAAAAUGUUCCACGUGUGGGAUUUUGUAUGUACCAUAUGAAUAAGGAUCGGCUAACUCCGUGCCAGCAGCCGCGGUAAUACGGAGGAUCCGAGCGUUAUCCGGAUUUAUUGGGUUUGAAGGGAGCGUAGGUGGAUUGUUAAGUCAGUUGUGAAAGUUUGCGUAUCAACCGUAAAAUCGCAGUUGAAACUGGCAGUCUUGAGUACAGUAGAGGUGGGCGGAAUCCGUGGUGUAGCGGUGAAAUGCUUAGAUAUCACGAAGAACUCCGAUUGCGAAGGCAGUUCACUGGACUGCAACUGACACUGAGGCUCGAAAGUGUGGGUAUCAAACAGGAUUAGAUACCCUAGUAGUC